AACUUUCAGCAACGGAUCACUUGGCUCUCGCCUCGAUGAAGAACCCAGCGAAAUGCGAUAAGUAAUGUGAAUUGCAGAAUUCAGUGAAUCAUCGAAUCUUUGAACGCACCUUGCGCUCCUUGGUUUUCCAUGGAGCAUGCCUGUUUGAGUGUCACGUUAACCCUCACCAUCGUGAUGUAAAAGUCAUGAACGGUGGACUUGGAUUCUGCCGUAAUUGGCUAAUCCUGAAAUGCAUUAGCUUGCGCCUUUUAGAGUGCUUGGCAUGGUGUGAUAAUUAUCUGCACCGUCGCCUAAGGCCUCUUCUGUGAGUGCUGCUUAUAACCGUCCCUUGUGGACAACAUAAUAAAGCUUUGGCCUCAAAUCAGGUAGGACUACCCGCUGAACUUAAGCAUAUCAAUAAGCGGAGGCU
rnacentral:misc_RNA from 1 species